UUUGGGGUGGCAGAGCACGGCAAUUGCAAAAGGCCUAAGCCCUUAUCGUCGAGAGUUCAAAUCUCUCCCCCAACC
rnacentral:tRNA from 1 species